rnacentral:lncRNA from 1 species
UUAUUUCUUCUCAUAAAUGCCCACUUCUAUAAUUUUGUUUUACCAUAACUCCACAUUCGAGCGUAUGUUUGUUUGGGUGGAAGUUGAGAGAGAAGUGGAGAGGGAGAAGUCGUUUCGUCAUAAACGAUCAUUUUCGUUGUGUGGUUCGCCGUAAAAAGAUUACGGUCGAAACACGAGUUAAUCUGAAACGAUAUAAUUUACUUGGGCCGAAGUCAAUUGCGAUGAAGGAAGGUGAAGUUAAAAAAUAAUAAAAUAAUAUGCUAGGUAAAGUUAUUUAUAUUUAAAUUUAUUUAAUUAUGGUACUAAUUAUUUUUUUAUUCAUUUGGCAUAUUUAAAAUAUGAUACAAAUUGAUUAAUUAGGUAUUAAUAUUAUUUUUUUUUUGUAAUUGUAUUGGUGUAUUUUGCUAGGUAAAGUUAUUUAUAUUUAAAUUUAUUUAAUUAUGGUACAAGUAGAUUUUUUAUUCAUUUGGCAUAUUUAAAAUAUGAUACAAAUUGAUUAAUUAGGUAUUAAUAUUAUUUUUUUUUUGUAAUUGUAUUGGUGUAUUUUCAUAAUUUACCUGUUUUAAAUUAACUUUUAAUUAUAUAAAAAUAUAAUUAUAUUAUUUUUAUUUGGCCAAUUUGCAUAAAAAAUCUACUUAUUUUGGGCUUUUGCAAAAUCGGGCCACCUUUUUCGUUUUUGCAGAUUCGGUCCGCUUUUUCAGCAAACUGACCAAAAUACCCUUAUUACUUUUUCUCUUUCCUCUUUCUCUCUCUUCUUCGUUUCCCUCGUUCUUUUUUUUUUCUCGCCGGCAGAGCGGAGGCGGAGCGAAGGCAGAAACGGUCCGUCUCGCCUCUCACCCUCAUGCUCUCGCCCUCGCCCUUGCCCUCGUCAAUACACCCCCCACCUUCCUCGUUUCCGACCCCGCCAAGACCGCGCCACGAUUUUUUUUUUGCUUUUUUUUUUCUUUUCUUCUCCGACUCUUCUCCACCGUCUCCGACGACGACGUCUCUCGCCCUUCCCCGCCCUUCUCAUCUCUCCCUCUCCCUCAUUUUCUGCCGCCUCCGACGAUGAUUUAUCUUCACCGGCGCUGAUGCCGACACCGUAGA